AGAGUUUGAUCCUGGCUCAGGAUGAACGCUGGCGGCGUGCUUAACACAUGCAAGUCGAACGAAGCAUUUACGACAGAUUUCUUCGGAUUGAAGUUGUUUAUGACUGAGUGGCGGACGGGUGAGUAACGCGUGGGUAACCUGCCUCAUACAGGGGGAUAGCAGCUGGAAACGGCUGGUAAUACCGCAUAAGCGCACGGUAUCGCAUGAUACAGUGUGAAAAACUCCGGUGGUAUGAGAUGGACCCGCGUCUGAUUAGCUAGUUGGUGAGGUAACGGCCCACCAAGGCGACGAUCAGUAGCCGACCUGAGAGGGUGACCGGCCACAUUGGGACUGAGACACGGCCCAGACUCCUACGGGAGGCAGCAGUGGGGAAUAUUGCACAAUGGAGGAAACUCUGAUGCAGCGACGCCGCGUGAGUGAAGAAGUAGUUCGCUAUGUAAAGCUCUAUCAGCAGGGAAGAUAGUGACGGUACCUGACUAAGAAGCUCCGGCUAAAUACGUGCCAGCAGCCGCGGU
rnacentral:rRNA from 1 species